CUAUUCGUAUUCGUAGUGGAGUGACGGCUCAAUGUUAGAAAAACGAGCACUCAAUCGGUUGGCUCCAUUAUGUUUAGGUUGCCUAUUUUCGCCAAUGUACUGUACAUUCACUUCGAUAGUUAAUCGACUUUGUUUUGGUAACCAGACGUUUCCCGUUAAAACAAAGUCAAUUAACUAUAGAAUUAAAAGUACCUUGGCGAAAAUAGGCAACCAAAACAGCAGAGCCAACCGAUUGAGUGCUCGUUUUUCUAACAUUGAAUAGGCGAUUGAACAGUUAAGCUUGGAUUCCACAUCACCAGAAACAGCAAACAGACAACAGAAACAGA
rnacentral:lncRNA from 1 species